UUUUUUCUGAGAUUAUACAUAUCUUAAAAACAAUUUUUCCUUGUACUUUUAUAUCAACUGUUUGCUUUUACUUUUACCCUUUUCCAUUUUAUCUUACUCUGGUUGCUUCAAAGAUGAGUGUGGGGCUAUGGUCAAUGCUUACUUCUUUUGUAGACUUGUUAAUCCAACACAACACCAGCCAGGAGGGCCCCCUUCAGAAAUAACUCAUCUUUUUUCUUAGUUCUACUUUAUUAACCACAUCAGGCACUACCUAUUCAUACAUACACAACACUGAUGUAUACCUAUUAACACUAUGCAUCUAAUCAAGAGAAAACAAAUGUUCAAAACACACUCCAUUUUAUCUCUCUGAUAGGCUUCCUGACAUCAGAUUUCAACUCCUUUUAAGUGUUACAAAGGAACUUUAUUAGAACUGUAGAGAAAGACUCCUUUUACUCUCUUAAAUUCACUGAUAACCAGGUAAAACUCAUAGCACAAUCAAAUCCUACAGAGAGACUCUUGAAAAGUCUGUAGAGGACAUCAAGGAAAUAGAUGUCACACAACAGUAAUAACAACCUGAUUGCAUUCUGCGCUAGCACUGAGCCUCACUUUUUCACAGACACAGCAAAAUGUUACAGAUAAAUCCGUUUCAAAGGUGAUACGAAAAAUGUUUCACAAUCCAUAAAAUUACUACUCCUGUCAUGCCCACACUUAAAAUGGUUUACAAUUUAAAUCCUUAAUAAUACCACAAAUGUCUGGGAUGCUUCCCUGAAGACUUCUAAUAUGUGCAUUUGUGAAAAAUCUGUUAGAUUCAUGAGAUUAGUCUGGUACUUGAAACUAGGAUAACAAAGAACAGCUCUUGCUCUAAACACUAAACACUUCCCUGUACAGCAUUUAUAAAUUGCUACUGGGGGACUGAAUUUAAAUAAGAAAAUGUACCCUGUUGGGAUAACAGGGAAUAUUCUAAACUGGGAGUGUACAUUAAAGGGAGCUGAGCAGUUAACCUGAGAAUGUGAUCAAUGUAGCCAAGUACAGACCUUCACCUUCUAUUUCCCUCUUUUAUAUAGCACUUGACAUUUUUAAAAGAAUUAUCCAGAAUUUUUAAAGAACGUAAAGAGUCUUUAGUCAACUAGUUCUAAGAAAAAUGUUUAAUAAUUUUAUUAAAGUGAUAUUGGUAAAAUCCAAUGUAUUCCUUUCACAUUUCUACCAACACAAUCUGGACUUCUGGUAUAACUGGAAUAACAUUUCUGAAAAUGGCAUUAUAAUGGAAAUGAGAUAUAUUUAAUCUUAUUUUCCCUUAGAAGUAAAGUUAUGAACUGGGAUUAUUUUCCUGAAGAUUAAUGCCUAACUUUUUAUAGACAUGAAUACAAAUAUUUUGAUAACUAUAAAUCAGUACAGUAACACAAAUAAGUACAUGCUUAUGGUAGCCAUGAAGGAUGUUCACAAACACUCUGGUUAGUUCUCCUUCCUGGCAUGUGUUAGGAUUGUGCUUCCCACCCCUGGGAAGCCAGCAUGGUCAUGUGAUUUGAGCUGACCAAUGUGAGUUAAAGUGACUGAAAGUCAUUUGGGAUCGGAAGAUUUAAUUCCAGUAUGUAAUUUACCAUGACUCUUGUUCUCUGCCAGGUGACUGGAAAUGCUCAGAAACAAGGCUGCUCUAUUAACUUGGGUCCUAGAGAAAGAAUAUGCUGAAGCAAACCCUGCAGCUGACCCAUUAUAUAAUGUAUAUGGAGCAUCAGCAAAAAAUACACCUUAGUUAUUUUAAGAGGUUGACAUUUGGGGACUGUGGAUUAUUGCAAACAACCUAGCCUAAAUUACUGAUAUACAACUUUACAUAUUAAGAUAAGUUUUCUAAAAGGCAGCUAAAUCAUUCAGUAACCAAUCACACAAUUGUUGCCUUAUUUGGAGGCAGUAAUAUACUGAAUGGUAACUCCUCCUAUCUAUUUUCAUUUUCCAGCUUACGCUGUCAGUGUCCUUCUCCAGUGGUUCCUUUUACACGGCAGUCAGACAUGCUCAAGCCUCACUGCUGGUGAGACCUUCUCUUCAGUCUCGCCAUGCCUGCACGCUAACUUCUCCUUUUCACUGCCAACACUGAGAAUGGUCCACAGUGACCACCUCCACUUCUGUUUUACCUUAUGCAUUCUGGUGUCCAUUCCUUAAACUCUGAUUUAAAAAAUUCUGUCAAUGAACUUUUAAUUGUCAAAUCCAUGGCCCUUUGCUUUUUUAUCAUCUUUUCCAUUUUCUUUCAGUCAAUGCUGAUUACCAUCCCGGAUCCUUAAAAUUCUUUCUUUUAUUUCUGAUAUCAUAUCAUUUGGGCUGUCCCCUAACAUAUGUCUCCUCAGUCUACUUUGGUCCUUAUUUCUCUGUGUGUAAGUAUUCCUUAAGGUCUUUUUCAGAUCUUUUGUAAUGGUGGUUCUGAUUCCACCAUGAUUAACAAAUUUGAUUUUGUGUUACAGAAUAAAUAAGUAAAUUCUUAAUGCUUCCUCCUCCAAACUUUACUAUUUUAAUGUGUGUGUGUAUUUAAGAAAGUUCUUUAUCAUAAUAUGAUAGCUCUAAUACAAAAUAUGAAGGGGCCUGACAAAAAGUGGUGAACUUAUAUUUGCCCUUAUAAUAUAAGAAAUAUAUAAUUCAUUAGCCUAAUGAUUCAGCUAUAUCACGAGUCUCCACUGAAUUAGGAAAAUCUAUCAGAGAACAUGCCUUCAUCAGCAAUAUUAUCCAAAAACCAUGUUGGAUAAUGCUUAGCUCCAAGACAAUUAUAGACUUGGUAGAUCUUAAAAUAAAUUAAAUAUCUGCUACAAUGUGUUUCUGUGCUGGAAAAUGAUGUUUUUUCAAUAGAAUUCUUGCUUUCGUAAUUAGGCCUUCACAUUUUAGCUGGGCAUAUGGCUACCUGUCUAAAGACUAUUUCCCAGCCUUUCCAGAAGCCAGAGUCCCACAGCCACAUGGAUUGGAUGGGCUGGAUUUUGGCCAAUGGAUUGUAGAAAGACUGAUAUGUAAGAUUUCCAGUUUGUGCACUCCAAAGAGCAGAUUUUCCACUGCCUUUCUCACUGUCCCCACUGAUUAGAAAAUAAGAACAGUCGUCUUAGAGUAUAAAAUGAAAGUUUCAGAUUGAAUAUAGAAAACAGAAGGAUCCUGGGUUACUGAUACUGUCAAGCUGCCUGGCCACCCUAGUCACUUACUAGACUUACAAGAGAGAAUAUAAACUUCUAUCUUGAUGGUUAUUGUAAUUUUAGAUUCUCUGUUGCCUCAGAAAACCUGCAUCCUGUCUAAUAAAGUUUCACCUAACACUUUCCUCAACUAUAAUUCAGAGACUUUUGAGAACAGGCUUAAUUUAUCAAAUACCUUUUUUCUAAAGAGUCCCAUUCACUUUCCAUAAUUUUACAUCAUUUUUCUUCACAGUGUCUCUGCUGUGACAUAACAAUGCUUUACAUUCGGUCCAACCCCUAGAUUCCAGGACCACAGUACUCAAGUCAGGCAGCCUCUGCCCAGGAAAAUAGCUUCUGGUUCUGCUUCAUACUUCUGGGCAAGUGAAAUUUCCAGUUUCCGGGUACCAAGAACAAGAUUAUUUUAAGGAUUUUCUGAACAGCCCCCCAGAGGUCAUUACCCACAACAAACUUCUGGCACCAAAGGACCAGCUUUCUGACAAGAAUUUCAUCUCUUGCACCUGACAACACUUUUCCAUUAAUUGGGGCAACAGGACUUUGAAAGGCUCUGGACAUUUUAAAAAAUCUAUAAAACAAGUUAUGUGUUGGAUAAGGACCAAGCAGCGAAAAAGCAUCAUGUGAGAUAAAACACACAACAGAAGAGAAGCCAGGAACCAUCUAUCCUCCGUUCAGGGAAGCGGAAAGCAUCAGAACUGGGGAUGUUGCAGAGAGCAGAAUGGAGCCUUCUGAAGUGCCAUUAUGGAGGCUGCGAAAUACAAAGACCAAAGUGGCAGAAGACUCCAUAUCUGAAGUCACCCAGUUCUAUAUACCAUCAAUUUGCAGAGUAAGAGGAUAAGAAGAAGAAAAUGUGCCUUCAAAUCACGAGUACAAACAUCAAUAUUUUGUGAAUAAUGCCACACUAUGAACAAGAGAACAUAUCAUAAUCCAUGCUGCCAACAUUUCCCUCUGUGUCUUUGCCACAUCUACUUAGAAUUCAUCAUAUGAACUGAUUUUCUAAAAUGGCAUGCUGAAAAAGAAGUGAGAUAGUUACAUAUUACUGUUUCAGUCAAUAACAAUUAUAAGACCACAUUACAUAUUGAAUCAGAAAAUGUUAAUGCUAAGUAACACUCCUAUAUAUUUUGACUGAAAUUUUGAUUCAUUGUUUUUAACUUAUAGAGUAAGAAAGACUAUGUUCAACAGAAAGAUUUUCAGACUGAAUUAUCCUACUAGUUGUGCCACCAUUUCAAUGCACUUCGGUAGCUACCAAGAAGGACAUCAAGAGGCUUAGCCAAUAAUCAUUUCCCAGUGUAACACUGUGUUCUCCAUUAGCACACAAAAAAGCCCAUUCACUGUUCUGCAGUUACAUCCACAGAAUUUUUUCUGAUAUACAUAAGUAACCUCUGUGACAAAUCAUGUAAUUUGGUCUAGACGAGAAGGAACAAUACAUUAUAAAUCAGUGUCUCAUUCUGCUAUAAUCACCUCCUUAAAAUAGAGGCAACGGGAUCAAUGUCUCAGAUUCUGUUUUAUUACACACAUUCUUAAAAGCAUCAAUGACAAAACACUAACUAAGGCAGAAGAGCAGCUGGUUCCAUGGCUCCAUGAAAAGAAUGUUCUGAAAACAGUUCAAGAAUGUUUGAUGCACUUCAUGAGGAUUCUGUUCUAAAAUUUCAAAGCCACAUUAAAAAGUGAUAAUUGUUAUCUGCAGUGGAAAAGAGGAAGUCCAAACUUUUAGAAUUAGACCAAAUGUUAGCCAAAAACUAUUCUUGGGAUACUUAUGAAUUUUUUUGUCUUUCUUCCUUUCUUCCAAAUAUGUCUUUCACCUGCAUAUUAUGAAUUCAAGGACCUGGGGUUGUUUUUAUUCCUUUGAGGGAGACACAGCUUUUUAAUGCUUAUCAUCUGUAUAGCAUUCCAAUUCACUAACCAGGGUAGAGGAAUGUGCUGCCUAAUGAAAAUAUAAUUACUCUUAUAAUUAACAACUUAAUAAAUGUAUUACUUAUUUUAUUUUGAGGCUGCUAAACCCAUGUUCUCUUUGUUUGUCCUUACCUGGAAAUAAGACUUGGGUUUCUUUUCAUAGUAUCCUGUUAUGUUCAUUCUGGUUCAACUAAUGUAAAACUAUCUUACCUUAUGAACAUCAGGAAAUGGAGAUAUUGAAAGACAGUAGGUAGAGUUGUUUCUUUUUCCUAACUAUU